rnacentral:lncRNA from 1 species
UUACCUCCAAACACCUCCCGAAGUCAAUAUUUGAAUUUGGUACUAGUUUGAAAUAUCAAAAGAUUCAGGCUAAGCCAAUCCUAUUACACCAUGUCUAAUUCCAUCGCCUAAACCCUUGUUUGCUAAUGGUUUAAAAAAAAAAAUCUGAAUCAGCAGCAGACUGAUUAAGUUGCGCUUUUUGUUUCCAUUAUUUAAACCCCGGUAAACAUUACCGAAUCCCAGUACCAAAAUUUACAUACAUUUACAGUCUACGCAUUCUUGGGCUGCUCAGCCUACAGGAAGUUUGUGGCUGAUUCUUGUUGUGCAUAUGAAAAUGACUAUGAAAUUUGGCAGGUACUUGCCAACAGUUUGAGGUAUUUCUUGAGGCGGCCAACCACCGAGGAGGGAAGUUUUUGAGCCAUAACCUUAUUCUAGAUCAUAAUAUAUUGGAUGGAUUCCUGAGUUAUUCCAGGAGAAACUGUAGAAUGUCAAUGACCAAUUGCACAUCAUAUGCUUACACAUUCUUCUCACAAAAAGAUGAACAACAAUUAUUGCAGCUUAGAGUUUACUACAAUAUCAGUGUAAUAUAAUAAUAUAUUUUUUUUCAAAGCAAAUUGAACAAAUGAGAAAUUAUGUCUGAUCCAUGGAAUGAUAUGUUUUGUCUAUCUCUGUUAAGUUCAAUUAAAUUGUUAUAUUUUUUUUAGAUAAACAGAAAAAAGAAUGAGAUAAAUUAACUUAGUCGAACUAACUCGAGUAUCCAAUGUCUAAGAUUAUCUAGCAACUUAGAAGGUGGUGAGUUCAGAAAGUUUAUGCUUAAGUGUAGCAUUUGUGGCCAAUUAAUGCGCACGCUUGUUUGUCUUCUGGUAUAUAUGCAUAAAUGUGAUAUUUUUAUUAAGGGUUAAAUAAUUUCAAUUCAAAAAUUUUGAACAAUUUAGCUUUUAUAUAUUUAUUAAAAGCUAAAUAAGUCUUGAUAUUUUUUUAAUAAUAUAAUAUUAUUUUUAUAAUUUAAAAUAUUAAAAUUUAAUAUUUUAAUUAAUAUAAAAUUAAAAAAAUAUAUAUAUACGCACAAAUUUCAUAUUUGAAAUUAAAUAAGAAAAAUGUAAGCAAAUAUUAAUUUAAUAAAUAAUGAAUUUUUUAAAAUAAAAAAAUUUCAUACUUUAAUUCUUUCCUUGAAUACAUGUGAUUUAAAAACUUGUUUUUGAAUCGGCAGAACAAACUUUUUUGAUUUAGAGUUUGAUAAUUUUAAUGGAAAUUCUUUAAAAUUGAUAACUUAUAAUCUUGAUAAAAUUUUUAUAGUUUGAGAUUUAAUAUCCUUCAUCGUUUCAUUUAAAGAGGAAGAUCUUUACAUCUAUAGAGCUCUGAUUUGAGAAGAGGAGCUCCAAUUCCUUUUUAGGAAGUGUUGCCAUUUUAUUGAUUAAUUUAUCCUAUUUAAUUGAGUUACAUGAUAGUUUUUAAUUUAAAUGGCCUCAUUUAAUAAAAUUACUUUAAUUAAAAAUCAUUAAAUAAAUUGUGUGGAUUCAAUAGAGCUGUGACAUUUAUAAUUGAAAUUUAUUUAUUUUUUAAUUCCUACAAUAUAAUAUAAAUAGUAAAUAAUUUUUAAAAUUAUAAAAAUGCAAUCUUAUUAUAUAAAAAAGUUAUUUUUAUUAUUAAAAAAAUAAUAUUUUAUUAUUAAAAAAUAUUAUAUUAAAUAAUGAUUUAUUCGGCUCUUAAAUAAAAAUAUAAGCUUAUUAAAUCCUUGGACAGAAGAAUAUGGAUACAGAACUGCAUUUCUAGGUGCCCCAUAUUUGAGUAAUCAAUUCAACAUCUGUAGCAAUUGAUUUCCAAUUCAUAGUAUAGAAACCUAAUCAAAUAAAAAGAGGAAAGAAAUAGCUAGAUAAAUGCUCUUACUUUUGAUUUGGCAGAAGAAGAAAGCAAGAGAGACAAGUGAGGAUCACACCGGUGACGCAAUAGAAGCAACUGUUAGAUUUGGGUUCCAAUGGUGAAGAACGGGUAUUUGGAGUUGAGAGUGAGAGUAGAAGUGAAGAAGAGAGUUUCUGAAAUCUUUGAUGUUGCAUAUUGGUCUGAAAUGAUUGAUGCCCCUAUAGAGAGAUUCG